GGGCUCACACAAGCGGUGGAGGAUGUGGCUUAAUUCGAGGCUACGCGAAGAACCUUAUCCUAGUCUUGACAUGUAUGGAUUAACCCUGUGAAAGCAGGGCCACGCCUUCGGGUGGAACAUACACAGGUGCUGCAUGGCUGUCGUCAGCUCGUGUCGUGAGAUGUCGCGUUAAGUCGCUUAACGAGCGAAACCCUUGUCUCUAGUUGCCAGCGCGUAAUGGCGGGGACUCUAGAGAGACCGCCGGCGUUAAGCCGGAGGAAGGUGGGGAUGACGUCAAGUCCUCAUGGCCCUUAUGACUAGGGCUGCACACGUCCUACAAUGGAACGCACAAAGGGAAGCGAAACCGCGAGGUCAAGCAAAUCCCAAAAAUCGUUCCCUAGUUCGGAUUGCAGGCUGCAACUCGCCUGCAUGAAGCUGGAAUCGCUAGUAAUCG
rnacentral:rRNA from 1 species